rnacentral:rRNA from 1 species
AGCGAACGCUGGCGGCAGGCCUAACACAUGCAAGUCGAACGAAGCCCUCGGGCUUAGUGGCGGACGGGUGAGUAACACGUGGGAACGUGCCCUUUGGUACGGAAUAACUCAGGGAAACUUGAGCUAAUACCGUAUGUGCCCUUCGGGGGAAAGAUUUAUCGCCAUUGGAGCGGCCCGCGUCUGAUUAGCUAGUUGGUGAGGUAAAGGCUCACCAAGGCUACGAUCAGUAGCUGGUCUGAGAGGAUGAUCAGCCACAUUGGGACUGAGACACGGCCCAAACUCCUACGGGAGGCAGCAGUGGGGAAUCUUGCGCAAUGGGCGAAAGCCUGACGCAGCCAUGCCGCGUGAAUGAUGAAGGUCUUAGGAUUGUAAAAUUCUUUCACCGGGGACGAUAAUGACGGUACCCGGAGAAGAAGCCCCGGCUAACUUCGUGCCAGCAGCCGCAGUAAUAC